GACGAACGCUGGCGGCAUGCCUAAUACAUGCAAGUCGAACGCAGUGGGGACGGGUGAGUAACACGUGGGUAACCGCCCAUCAGAGGGGAUAACACUUGGAAACAGGUGCUAAACCGAUACUGAUGGAUGGAGCCGCGGUGGAUUAGCGAGUUGGUGAGGUAACGGCUCACCAAGGCGACGAUGCAUAGCUGGUCUGAGAGGAUGAUCAGCCACACUGGGACUGAGACACGGCCCAGACUCCUACGGGAGGCAGCAGUGGGGAAUCUUCGACAAUGGGCGAAAGCCUGACCGAGCCAUGCCGCGUGAGUGAAGAAGGUCUUCGGGUCGUAAAGCUCUGUUGGUAGAGAAGCGGUAUCUAACGAGAAAGCCACGGCUAACUACGUGCCAGCAGCCGCGGUAAUAC
rnacentral:rRNA from 1 species